AGUGAACGCUGGCGGUAGGCCUAACACAUGCAAGUCGAACGGCAGCACAGUAAGAGCUUGCUCUUACGGGUGGCGAGUGGCGGACGGGUGAGGAAUACAUCGGAAUCUACUUUUUCGUGGGGGAUAACGUAGGGAAACUUACGCUAAUACCGCAUACGACCUACGGGUGAAAGCAGUGGAUCUUCGGACCUUGCGCGAUUGAAUGAGCCGAUGUCGGAUUAGCUAGUUGGCGGGGUAAAGGCCCACCAAGGCGACGAUCCGUAGCUGGUCUGAGAGGAUGAUCAGCCACACUGGAACUGAGACACGGUCCAGACUCCUACGGGAGGCAGCAGUGGGGAAUAUUGGACAAUGGGCGCAAGCCUGAUCCAGCCAUACCGCGUGGGUGAAGAAGGCCUUCGGGUUGUAAAGACCUUUUGUUGGGAAAGAAAAGCAGCAGGUUAAUACCCCGCUGUUCUGACGGUACCCAAAGAAUAAGCACCGGCUAACUUCGUG
rnacentral:rRNA from 1 species